rnacentral:tRNA from 1 species
GCUGGCGUAGCUCAGUUGGUAGAGCAGCUGCCUUGUAAGCAGCAGGUCGCGGGUUCGAAUCCCACCGCCAGCUCCA